GGCCCGGUAGCUUAGUUGGUAAAGCGCUCGUCUAGCAUACAAGAGUCCUGGGUUUAAAUCCAAGCCGAGCAC
rnacentral:tRNA from 1 species